UUGUCUCCCACUAAAAGAAAAAAAAAGCGUCCUCGCUUUCUGACUCCCACAGCUACAACUUCGGCGCAAUUCUAAAUCUUCCACAACUGCAUGGCCUCCUCCGGCGUCGGAUCUUCAUCUAGGGCGGCUGUCAUGUAAGCGGCGUAUGGUGCGGCAGUAUGGGGUUCGUCAAUGAAUGCCGAACUUUCACCGUCUUCUUCGAUUGUCAUGGCAGCAUCCGGCGGGUGAUAGGCGAAUAGAUCGGCGACAUUGAAGGGACCAAUUUUGCGGGGUUUCAACUUCGAAUAUGAACCAAUUGGGUGUCUCUCACGUCGAAGAAAUGUUUCCUCAAAUAGCGCCUCAUCUUUGGCCAAGUACGUAUUUUCUCCUUACCAUCUCUUCUUCUAUUUGCUUUAAAUUGUUCCCACCAUGCUGAUGCUCCUCGUUUGAGUUUAUAUGCAACAAGUUUAACUCUACUCUCUCCCGGUAUUUCCAUGUACUCAAAAAAAUUUUCCACGUGUUGUAACCAAUCUAGAAAUUUUUCAAUA